UACGUAGGGUGCGAGCGUUGUCCGGAAUUAUUGGGCGUAAAGAGCUUGUAGGCGGCUUGUCGCGUCUGCUGUGAAAAUCCGGGGCUCAACCCCGGACUUGCAGUGGGUACGGGCAGACUAGAGUGUGGUAGGGGAGACUGGAAUUCCUGGUGUAGCGGUGAAAUGCGCAGAUAUCAGGAGGAACACCAACGGCGAAGGCAGCUCGCUGGGACGGUACUGACGCUGAGGCGCGAAAGCGUGGGGAGCGAACAGG
rnacentral:rRNA from 1 species